AUCAAUGUAUGAAAUAUAAAUACUCGUUUAGAUUGUAACAGUUGAGAUAAAUUAUAAAUUCUUGCGGAACCUGUUGCCGCAUUAUGAGAACUCGCUAGAAUAAUUAAUAAUAAUUGACUUCUAAUGAUACUUUUUUACGAUAGUAUUUUAUUUUCCAUUCCUUGCCUCGCUUUUUAAUAACUUUCAACAAAAUAUUAUCAUCAAAUACAAAUAUUACAAAUAUUUUUUACUUCCUUCUCUUAAAAAAAAAUAUACUCUCGUAAAACGUUUAGUUACAAAUAAUUCUAUAUAAAUACACCGUAGAUGUAUCUUAUCCCCAUAUACAUUUUCUCGCAAUUUCAUCGUCUAAUAAUAAUAUUCGUAUCGAAAAAAAUUGUUUACCGAGAAAAACUUCUGCUUUUCGGUCGCAAGAUCGGGGGCCAAUCGUUUAUCUCUUCGUUCCACGUUCCUUCGUUGAUAAACAAGCGGUUAUAAAGCCCAUUACAGCCAUAUUUCGCGCAACAAAGUCGUACACGCGUAUCGAGGCCACCCGAUUUAUCGAGUGCUCUCCUUCGAGUGUAACGCGAAACCGUAUCACGGGCAAUUACUUGAUGAGUCUAUAACGCCUUGUAAUUAACCCGUACCGUGUGCCCGAUCGUGUGACUGAUUAAUUGCGAAUUUCUUUAUUAUUUCGACGUUCAUUGAAGACGGAAUCGAUGGCUCCUGUUUUAUGCGAGUGAGAUUUAUGAUCCGCUUCGAGGGGGAAAAAAAGAAAAGAAUUUUUUCUUCGUUGAUGGAAAGCACGAUAUUAAAAUACGAAUAGAGAAAAUUGAAGUUUGCGAAAAGUAGAACGAGUUAUGUGGAAUUUUUUUAAUUAACAGUUGAUGGUAUAAACUUGGUUAUGUAUAAUAUAUACUCGUGCAAGGAAAUAUUAAGAACCCUACAAUAAAUAAAUAACGAGAAUCAAACCUUAAAAAGAGGUAGAAAUCCGUCAUUUUUCAUCCUUUAAUUAUUACGAAACGUUAAAUUUCUGGCGCCAGCCGAUCAAAAGUCGCCGCAAUCGUCACCGUCACUGUCAAAUCUCCACAUUUGAAUAAUCCAAACGCUUGCCCACGCACAAGGAAGUCAUUAGGAUUUCAUGGCGCCUCUCUCAAUCAUCGAUCCUAAAUGCCUUCGGUCUAGUAAGCGAAUCCGUUACUUUCCUAAGAAGAAAUCGAAACGGCCGGUUCGCGUGUUCGCGUUCGAUCCAGCUCGUUCGUUUGGUUCGUGACCUCGCGAUUAUCCAAUACCGUAGAAAGAAUGUAACACGUAAACGAUUUCAUCUCUGCUGCGUGUUUAACGGGCGAGAAGCGAGGGUGGUGCGAUCGUAUCUACUCUCGGUUCUCGUUUCGUGAAACGAAAAUAGAUGGACCGAGGAGAGGUGUUCCGUCGCUUCGACGGUGUUCGACGAUUCCUUCCCCCAUUCGUUCCUCGACACACUUCGAGCGACCUUUGCGAUGCCUGGGCGAAAGGUCAUGCGACCCCUUCGUUCGAUCACGUUUUUUUCCUUUUCGUUUUGAUCGAUGCCUCGUUCCAGCGUGGGCGUUGACAUUGACUGCUGCGGUUUCCACCAGGAAUGUUUGCACAGAGGAGGUUUGGGUGUCGAUAAAUCGCGGAUGUUUGCGAGGAUGGAGGUGUUUCGUAAUGCGCAACUUUGAAAAUUUUCUUAUUCCUUCCUCGAUUUGUUAUUUCUCACAGAAAAAUAACGACAAAUGUUCUCGUAUGAGAUAUAAUUUUGUAUAAUUUAUAGAUUGUUUUUCUGGUAUAGGCAUAUAUUUAUUAAUUAGUAUUAUUUUAUUUAUUCUUCGUUGUGAGGGAAUAAUGAAUAAAUUUGAUGAGAGUUACUUGGCACGAAUCGAAAACUACCCAAAUAUAUGAUUUAAUCGAGCCUAAUUAGAGAAUUCAUCGAAUCUAGAUCCUCUUGAGUAAUAGAAUUCGUGAUAUUCAUGAUAUAUUUUUAUUUGGAAUUUAUUUUUUGUAGUUUGAAUUUUUUUGUGAGUCUUGACUUUGAGUGACUCAACUUCUUUGUACAAAAUCCUUCAAAAGAUGCAAUGAAUCGAUUUUAGAUAUAUCAUAUUACUUUAUCCAUCAAGGGAGAAGAGGAUUAUAUUAAAUGGAAAAUUUGUUUCAUUUAAAAAAUAAAUAGAGCGUAGCUAAAAGUUGCUUUCCUGUUUGACUAUAUAAAGCACGGUUGCUCACCUUACGUAAAUUAUAUAGAACUGGAGUGUGGGAGGACUGAAACAUUUAUUACGGUGUCCCCGAGUACGAAAUUACGCCACUGUGCAUUGUGUAAGCAUUGCUGGGCAUACGCAUGCUAGUUAAACUUUCGCUGGCGAAACAUUGGAAAAAAAAAAAGAAAAGAAAAAGAAAAGAAAAAAACAGAAAGAAAAGAAAAAAAAAAGAAACUGACCCUUACCUUUUUUUCGCGAUACGCCGACUCUUGUCUCUGAACACAGGCAGCUCGAAGGAUUUGCAAAUUUGCGAACUUCCAGUGUAUUUGCAUAUAUUUAAUCUUCGAUUGACUGCAUUAUGAUCGGGUCAUUUCAGACAUCUUGAACGAAACAAUUCUGUUACAAGUAUAUUUUAACUCUGUUACGAUCUUCGAAUUCUUUUUUUCUUUUUUUAUUCAGUCUCGAUCUUGUCCCGAGAGAAGAAAAAAAAAUUGCUUAUGCUUUCGAUAAAAACUUCCAUAUUAUCCGUAAUUUUGUAAAAUGUAUAAUUGACAAUUGGUUCGAAAAUAUAUUUUGAGGGGACUCAAUCAUCCACUUCCGCCAUCCAAGGAUUAAUUAUAAAUCGUGUGUAUCGUAUCGAAAUUUUGAAAAAAAAAUUCGAAUAACGGCUUUGGCCUUGAUUUCGAAAAUUAACUAAAAAAUUAAAUCGAUUGUAAUUAAACUAAAUAUCGCAUUGAUGGCAAGUCAAUUAGUAUAUAUGAUCGUAUGAGAGCUUUUUGAUACGGAUAUUAAAUUAUAAUAAUAAAACCUAAUUGGCUAUAGUCGCCACUCAAUACAUGUUUAUAAAUAUAUAUAUAUAUAUAUAUAUA